UGGUUAUAUAUUUAGCGGUGGCACUGACUUCCCCAAUUUAUGUAUAUAUGGUGAUAUUGUCAAUGGUUACUUUGACUUCCAUAAUUUACCGUGUAUAUUGGAAAUAUGUCGUCGGAUUAUAUUGGCUUCCCCAUGCGAUAUAGUUUUAUUUUUAGUGGCCACAUUGCUAUCCCUUAAACCUAACCUUUCUGAAUAUUUUCAUUACCUAUAAAAAUUUGUGUCGGUGUAACUUAACAAUGAAUCGUAGAAGUAAACGUAUCUUGGAUCUAGCUCGAGACAAGAGCCUAGCAGAUAGGAAUUUUGACAAUUAUUGUAUUAGCUUUAUAUUUUCUCAGAUAUGACUCCUUCAAGCUCGGAUAAUAGCCAAAUAAUUUCCGAUUCGGAAUAUAAAUUACCAGAAGAAUCCGAAGCAGAAAGUUCGUGGGAAUGUGGAUACAGAGAAAGUGAUUUUUUUUGGAUAGCCCUAUUGAACUGCGUCAAGAAUUGCCCGACAGUACAUAUACUACGAUGCAAACAAUACAACCAGGUUUACCUCCCGAAGAAAAUAAUGGCGUUGACCACAAUUACUGUGUCAGUCUCAGACAAAAUGACAAUCUGGAUUCCGAAGUUAAAACACCUGGAAAAACUCGACGUGUUAGGAGAAAACAUCAAUGCCUAUAUUGUAAUCAAGAUGUCGGAAAUUUCUUAAGGCACAUGGAGCGUAAUCACUGGGACGAAUUCCAAGUACAGGAAAUUUUGUCGUUAUAGAAGAAAUCUAAGAAACGGAUUAAGUUGAUUGACAAACUUCGUAGGGAAGGUGACUUUUCUACAUCAAAUAUUGUACCUGUAAUGGCAAACAAAAAAAAGCUAGUUGAAGACUAUAUUGUUUGCAAAUUUUGUCAAGGCUAUUAUGCCAAGAAUAGCCUUCGUCGCCACGCAAAAAAAUGUUUCUUUAAUCCCGAUCCGAGUCAACGCUUUCAAGCACAGAUUGAAGGUCAAACAGUAAUGGUUGGGAAUUUUGGACCGAAUGAUCCUUUAAAAAUUAGCGGUCUUAUAAACAUGUUACGAGCAGAUGAAACUUCGUUGGUUGCUAAGAAAGAUCAACUUAUUUGUGAAGUUGGUAGGCGCUAUAUAAAAAGUCACAAAGAAAAACAUGAGACGAUUAGCUCGUUUACUCAUCAGCGUCAGAACACUCAAAAAUAAUAAAACACUUGGUUUAGCUGAGAUUCUCUUACCUAAAAUGUUUAAAAUACUGGUUUUAGCUACAAGAAACAUAGCAGAGUAUGACGUUGAAAAUCGAAGUUUUAAGUCCCCUUCUUUGGCACUUCAGCGUGUUCUAUUGAAAUUCAAAAGGAAAAUCCUCGUAAAAAUUAUAUAGAAAAUUUCACGGAAUUAAUAAAACUUAUUGAUAAUGACUGGGCAAUUGAGGUUUCGAGCGAAGCAGGACAGAAUUUGGCUUACAAAAAAUUUAACAAACCAACAUCAAUACCUGUGGCGGAAGAUAUCAAGAAACUGGACCAAUAUCUUAAAAAUCUUAUUUCACAAGCCAAACUUGUCUUGGCAGAAAAUGAUCACAAUGAAAAAGCUUAUCGAGAUUUACUGGAAGGGAUAUUUUGCAGUGUCAUGAUUUUUAACAAAAGGCGGGUAGGGGAACUCCAAAGGAUGACCCUGUUAGCCUUUUUAGAAAACCACGAUUCAGUCCCAUCGUCCGAAUUUGAAAAAGUGCUGACAAAUUCCGAGAAAAUUUUAUUUAAAUCACUCAAACGCAUAGUCAUUAGAGGAAAAAGGGGAAGAGGGGUCCUGUACUUUUUGACAAAAUCGCGAUGUAUUCUACGCUCUCUGAGAAAAAAAUUUUAUCUUGAAAAUAAUCAGUAUCUUUUUGGUUUACCGGGAACAUUAAAUCCAAUUGGAGGAUAUACGGUCAUGAGAAAACAUUCAUUACUGGCGCUUGGUGGAAACAAGGCAGCAGCAUCAUUGUUGACUUCCAGUAGGUUAAGAAAGCAGUUGGCAACUAUCACUCAGAUUUUUAAAAUGGACAAAAAUGAAUUGGAGCAGCUUGCUUCAUUUAUGGGUCAUAAUGAAAAAACCCAUUCAGAAUUUUAUCGUUUGCCAGACGACGUUUACCAAACCGCUAAAGUGAGCAAGUUAUUAUUACUUUCACAAAACAGUGCGUUAUUUGAAAAGAACAAAGGGAAACCUCUGAGUGAAAUAGAAUUAAAUGAUGAGAUCAUAGACGAAAGUGAUGACAAUUAUUUAGAAGAUAUUUACGAAAAUGUGUUAGAAAAUCAAAACCCGAAUCAAUUGAAAAAUCAGGAUCAGGUUCCUGCCUUUGGUGUAGCAGACAUUCCUAGAGAAAAAAAACGGAAACGUAAGCUGGUACCAUGGACAAACGACUAAAAAAAAAUUACGGAGUGUUUUUUCAAAAAACACAUUAAAAAUAAAAUUCCUCCAAAAAAGCAGGAGGUAAUGAGAUUAAUCGAGAGUCAUCCUGGGAUUUUUACAAACAAAACAUGGCCAGUAAUAAAAGUUUACAUAUGCAAUAAAUUUAAUAAAAAAUAACGGGUCUGAAGAUGUGUUAUUUACAAAUUUAGAAAUGUUUUUUAGUUUGUCAAUGAUAACGAAUGUUACAUGAAAACUAUUUUUGUUUCCAAAUUUUUGCUACGAAAAAGGUUUAUUUUUUAUUUUA